rnacentral:rRNA from 1 species
GCACAAGCAGCGGAGCGUUGUGGUUUAAUUCGAGGCUACACGAAGAACCUUACCAGGGUUUGACAUGUACGUGGUAGGAAUCCGAAAGGUGACCGACCCUUCGGGGAGCGUACACAGGGUGUUGCAUGGCUGUCGUCAGCUCGUGCCGUGAGGUGUUAGGUUAAGUCCUGUAACGAGCGCAACCCUUGCCGCUAGUUAUACGUGUCUAGCGGGACUGCCCGGCUCAACUGGGAGGAAGGUGGGAUGACGUCAAGUCAGCAUGGCCCUUAUAUCCUGGGCUACACACACGCUACAAUGGCCGGUACAAUGGGUCGCUAAGCCGCGAGGCGGAGCCAAUCCUAAAAAGCCGGUCUCAGUUCAGAUUGUAGGCUGCAACUCGCCUGCAUGAAGUCGGAGUUGCUAGUAAUCGCGCGUCAGCAAUAGUGCGGUGAAUACGUUCCCGGGGCUU